UCCGUUGUAGUGUUGUUGGUUAGGAUACUCGGCUUUCAGCCGAGAGACUCGGGUUUUAAUUCCUGGCAACGGAA
rnacentral:tRNA from 1 species